UGGGCCUCAAAUAAUGUGUGACUACCCCCUAA
rnacentral:rRNA from 4 species